GACGAACGCUGGCGGCGUGCCUAAUACAUGCAAGUCGAACGCAGUGGGGACGGGUGAGUAACACGUGGGUAACCUCCCAUCAGAGGGGAUAACACUUGGAAACAGGUGCUAAACGGAUACUGAUGGAUGGACCCGCGGUGCAUUAGCUAGUUGGUGAGGUAACGGCUCACCAAGGCCACGAUGCAUAGCGGACCUGGAAGGGUAUUCGGCCAACAUGGGCCUGGACACGGGCCAAAUUCCUACGGGAGUAGGCAGUAGGGAAAUUGCGGCAAUGGGCGAAAGCUUGACCGGCCAAAGCCGGGUGAGUGAAGAGGGUUUACGGAUCGUAAACACCUGUUGCGAGAGGAGCGGUAUCUACCCAGAAAGCCACGGCUAACUCCGUGCCAGCAGCCGCGGUAAUUC
rnacentral:rRNA from 1 species